GGGCCCUUAGCUCAGCCUGGCUAGAGCGCUUCCCCGACACGGAAGAGGUCGUUGGUUCAAGUCCAACAGGGCCCACGA
rnacentral:tRNA from 1 species